rnacentral:rRNA from 1 species
CAGUAGCCGCGGUAAUACGUAGGUGGCAAGCGUUGUCCGGAAUUAUUGGGCGUAAAGCGCGCGCAGGCGGCCUAUCCAGUCUGUCUUAAAAGUUCGGGGCUCAACCCCGUGAUGGGAUGGAAACUAGUAGGCUAGAGUAUCGGAGAGGAAAGCGGAAUUCCUAGUGUAGCGGUGAAAUGCGUAGAUAUUAGGAAGAACACCAGUGGCGAAGGCGGCUUUCUGGACGAAAACUGACGCUGAGGCGCGAAAGCCAGGGGAGCGAACGGGAUUAGAUACCCGAGUAGUCCCUGUCUCUUAUACA